rnacentral:rRNA from 1 species
AGAGUUUGAUCCUGGCUCAGGAUGAACGCUAGCGGUGUGCCUGAGAUAUGCAAGUCGAGCGUCUUUUUGCCCGCAAGGGUAAGAGGUAGCGGCGGACGGCUGAGUAACACGUUGGAAUCUACCUAGAACUGGAGGAUAGCCCAUCGAAAGAUGGGAUAAUACUCCAUAGUCUCACAAGAGUAAAGAGCGUAACUGCUUGGUUUUAGAUGAGCCUGCGUCCUAUCAUGGUAGUUGGUGGGGUAAAUGCCUACCAAGCCUAUAACGGGUAGCUGGUCUGAGAGGAUGACCAGCCAGAGGGGGACUGCGACACGGCCCCCACUCCUACGGGAGGCAGCAAUCAGGAAUAGUCGGCAAUGGGCGAAAGCCUGACCGCGCGACACCGCGUGAGGGAUGAAGUUCGAAAGAGCGUAAACCUCUGUGGUAGAGGAAGAAUGUCAGCGUAAGCUGGCUUGACGGUACUCUACUAGAAAGUAGCCGCUAACUGCGUGCCAGAAGCGUCGGUAACACGUGGGCUACAAGCGUUAUCCGGUAUUAUUGGGCGUAAAGGGUCGUGUAGGUGGUUUAACAAGUUAUCUCUUAAAUUUCCAUGCUUAACAUGGAGUAAGGAGAUAAUACUGUUAAACUAGAGUUUCCUUUAGGGAGAUUGGAACUGAGGGAGGAGUAGUGAAAUGCGUUGAUACCCUCGGGAACACUAGUGGCGAAGGCGAAUCUCUGGAAGGAAACUGACACUGAGACACGAAAGCUAGGGUAGCGAAGCAGAUUAGAGACCUGCGUAGUCCUAGCCCUAAACGAAUGUUUGCUGGCUGCAUGAUUAUGACCGCAAGGUUGUUUUCGUGUGGCGAAGGUAACCCGUUUAGCAGACCGCCUGGGGAGUACGGCCGCAAGGCUAAAACUCAAAGGAAUUGGCGGGGAGGCACACAACCAGUGGAACAUGUGGUUCAAUUCGAUACGAACCGAAGAACCUCACCAGGGUUUGACAUGCUAGCGUCCUAUUUCCAGGAAACUGGGAAAAUUCGCAAGAAGGCUAGCACAGGUGCUGCAUGGCUGUCGUCAGCUCGUUCCGUGAGGAGUGCCCUUAAGUGGGACAACGAGCGCAACCCCUAUCUUGUGUUAAAUUUGUCACAAGAGACUGUCCCGACAUUACGUCGGGGAGGAAGGAGGGGCAGACGUCAAGUCAGCAUGGUCCUUAUACCCUGGGCUACACACAUGUUACAAUGAAGAGUACAAUGGGUCUUGCAAGCAGGCAACUGCAAGCGAAUCCCAUAAAACUUUUCUCAGUAGGGAUUGAGGUCUGCAACCCGACCUCAUGAACACGGAAUUGGUAGUAAUCGCGGGUCAGCUAUACCGCGGUGAAUACGUUCUUGCCUCUUGCACACACCGCCCGUCAAACCAACAAAGUCGGGAGGAUUUGAACCCUCCGUUUCGGAGGGGAAAAUUUUCUCGGCGAUGAGGGUUAAGUCGUAACAAGGUA